UGGGAAUAAAAGAGACUGUAUGUGACAGUACAGGGAGUUCCUGUUUUAACCCUCAAAGUGAAGUGUCGUCUCAUUAUUGGGGGAAGGAUUUAUUGUAUGCUGUUCCAGUUUGACUGCCAGGAGAGUAAACCUAUUCGUAUGGUUCCUAUUCAACUGUCUACAGCAUUCAUAUGCUUGGGAGAAUUUAUUUGUUUCUCCGGUUCGGUGAUUGUGGUGUCUGCCAGAGUGCUUGGAGUCCUCAGGAAGCGCUAGGAGCAUCCUUCAACGGAGG